rnacentral:snoRNA from 1 species
CCCAGCUCUAAGUCAGCUGACCAGGCAGUGUCUGUGCCCGGCUCAGUGUUACAGCGCUGGUAGACGAAGUCUCUGUGCCCAGUCAGAGCUGUGCAGGUUCUGUUUUAGAGUCUGCUGCUCCUGAUCUGCUGCAGAGCACGGCCCAAUGAGAGUGGCCUGUCCUGAUCACACAGCAGGGCAGGCCUAGUACAUGGCCACACAUU